rnacentral:lncRNA from 1 species
AGGACUAUGAUCUGCAUGAGUGCUGGAAACCUGGACAGAUGGGAUGGAACUAGAGGCUGGUGAAGUUGACAGGUCAACUGGGACAGGAUUUCCAAAAGAUGACAGGUCAACCACAAGAUCCAGACCUGGAGGUUCUUGCACAGGAGGAGGAGGAAGAAGAUCAUCCUCAUCCAAUGCCAUCUCGGUAGAGGCAGCAAAAUCAUCAAUAUUGACAUUUAUGGAUUCAAUGAUGGUUUUGGUCCUAUAGUUG